rnacentral:rRNA from 1 species
UCCAGACUCCUACGGGAGGCAGCAGUGGGGAAUAUUGCACAAUGGGGGAAACCCUGAUGCAGCGACGCCGCGUGAGCGAAGAAGUACCUCGGUAUGUAAAGCUCUCUCAGCAGGGAAGAAGAUGACGGUACCUGACCAAGAAGCUCCGGCUAAAUACGUGCCAGCAGCCGCGGUAAUACGUAUGGAGCAAGCGUUAUCCGGAUUUACUGGGUGUAAAGGGAGCGCAGGCGGCCUUGCAAGUCUGAUGUGAAAGGCCGGGGCCCAACCCCGGGACUGCAUUGGAAACUGGCGGGCUGGAGUGCCGGAGAGGUAAGCGGAAUUCCUAGUGUAGCGGUGAAAUGCGUAGAUAUUAGGGGGAUCACCAGUGGCGAAGGCGGCUUACUGGACGGCAACUGACGCUGAGGCUCGAAAGCGUGGGGAGCAAACAGGAUUAGAUACCCCAGUA